GAUGAACGCUGGCGGCGUGCCUAAUACAUGCAAGUCGAGCGAACAGACGAGGAGCUUGCUCCUCUGACGUUAGCGGCGGACGGGUGAGUAACACGUGGAUAACCUACCUAUAAGACUGGGAUAACUUCGGGAAACCGGAGCUAAUACCGGAUAAUAUAUUGAACCGCAUGGUUCAAUAGUGAAAGACGGUUUUGCUGUCACUUAUAGAUGGAUCCGCGCCGCAUUAGCUAGUUGGUAAGGUAACGGCUUACCAAGGCGACGAUGCGUAGCCGACCUGAGAGGGUGAUCCGCCCCACUGGAACUGCACCACGGCCCAGACUCCUACGGGAGGCAGAAGUAGGGAAUCUUCCGCAAUGGGCGAAAGCCUGCCGGAGCAACGCCGCGUGAGUGAUGAAGGUCUUCGGAUCGUAAAACUCUGUUAUUAGGGAAGAACAAAUGUGUAAGUAACUAUGCACGUCUUGACGGUACCUAAUCAGAAAGCCACGGCUAACUACGUG
rnacentral:rRNA from 1 species